UGCCAGCAGCCGCGGUAAUACGGAGGGGGUUAGCGUUGUUCGGAAUUACUGGGCGUAAAGCGUACGUAGGCGGAUUAAUAAGUUAGAGGUGAAAUCCCAGGGCUCAACCCUGGAACUGCCUUUAAAACUGUUAGUCUUGAGAUCGAGAGAGGUGAGUGGAAUUUCUAGUGUAGAGGUGAAAUUCGUAGAUAUUAGAAAGAACACCAAAUGCGAAGGCGGCUCACUGGCUCGAUACUGACGCUGAGGUGCGAAAGUGUGGGGAGCAAACAGGAUUAGAUA
rnacentral:rRNA from 1 species